rnacentral:rRNA from 1 species
UACGGGGGGAGCAAGCGUUGUUCGGAUUUACUGGGCGUAAAGGGCGCGUAGGCGGCCACUGCAAGUCAGUUGUGAAAUCUCCGGGCUUAACUCGGAAAGGUCAACUGAUACUGCAGGGCUAGAGUGCAGAAGGGGCAACUGGAAUUCUCGGUGUAGCGGUGAAAUGCGUAGAGAUCGGGAAGAACACCCGUGGCGAAGGCGGCCAGCUGGGACACACCUGACGCUGAGGCACGAAGGCGUGGGGAGCGAACGGG